UAUAAGCUCCCAUACUAAAUGAGCGUUUUGACCUUUGAUAAAAAGUCGCUGAUUUGACUAGUAGUCAUCAUCCCUAUUAUCAUUCAUCUCUUAUCAUGGUUGUGUGAGCAGGAUAGAUAGAUAUCUGCUCUCCCUAUCUCUUAAUUUGUUUUAAUAUGACGUCACUUUGUAGAACUUGGCGCUUGUAAAUAAAAACUGAAUUUGAAAUAAAGCUUACGUUCCACUGCUUUGCUAGCUGUAACUUGCUAUCGCAAAGCUUUUGUUUUUGAUUGUAAUAUUUUGUAAAUAAAGUCUGUGUUUCACCGUUAGCUAUAAUUUGAUGUGAUCGCACAUUGGCUAUAUAUACAUUAUAGAGGAAAUUACAUAUCAAAUCAGCUGUUAUUUUUUUUAAGUUCUUUUAUACUUACUCUUAAUUAAAAUAGAACAAAUCUAAACUUUAAAAACUUUACUUUGAAAACGGUUUUGACUAUAAUGCGCUAAGAUCUAUUUUUUAUAAUAAAGUUGUCCACGCCAUUAUGAGCUAUAAAAAAAAUGUUUACAAGCCUAUUAUUUAUACUUUAUUGCACUAGGUAUGUAUUACCAAUCGUACUUAAAUCAUGCACGCAAGUUUGCUUGUAUGAAAGUAAUAUUAUACAUGUUGUUUUGUUUGUUAUUAUUUUCAGUCAUCUUAAAGGAAGUUUUUGUUUUUUCUUAACAAAAAUUUAGAGAUCCUCACCGCAAGUUUAUUUUAAAUCUAAUAAAUAGGUAGUUCAUAAGAAAAUUACUUACAAAAUACUAAUAAUAAUGAAUAGAUUUUAUUACAAUUUCACAUUUUGCUAUUAAUUUUGUUAGCAUCUCAAUAAUGAUUAACUAAUUCUUCAUUUAAUUAUUAUAUAUUUUGAAGUAGAGAAACAAGAAAACUUAUCUCAUGAAAUAGGAUGAAAAUAUUAUUUAUAAGUAAUAUUGUAACAAAUAUUUUGACAUGUCCGACCAAGUUCCUUUAUGUCCAAAAGUGUGCCUUGAUAAUAAUAAUUAUCAAUAAUUAUUAGUUGAAAACAGUAGGUCUACUAUCAACUAUUAUGCAAAUCAAGACUUAUGAAAAGAAGAUUUACGCUUUAUAAGAAUUAAAUUAAAAAUGAUUUAACAAAUUUAUUUGAUCAGUAUCUAACAAAGGUCAUGAUAACAUAAUCAAAAACGAUUUAAUUUAAAUAUUAAAUCAGAAAACUUGAAAAUAGAAUAAUUAAUUAAAAGUUAAAAGUAGGCCUACUGCAGUAGAAAAAUAUUUAUCACAUAACAUCAGAUUUUAAGUAAUAUAUGAUUCUAAAAAAUGUAAUAGCUUCGUACAAAAAAGCAAUAAUGUUUUUCCAUCAGUAGGUUGAUUAGAUGCCAUAAAUAUUUAAUUAUAAUAUGUCUAAGAGAGAAAACAAUAAAUAAUUUUUCCAAGCGAUGCGAUAAUGUAACAACUUAUUGCUUUGCGUUUUCAUUGGAUAGCAUCCUUAUUGUUAAUUAUAUGUAUAGAUGCAGUCCGCUAAAUACCAAAUAUCUUCAAAUAGUUUUAUUGUUUAAGAUUUUCCUUUAACUAUAAGCAGUUAGUUGUAAAUGAAAAAAUGUAGUCUUCAAUUUAAUAUUAUUUUCCAUUCGCUAUGAUAUAGUAUUUACUUAUAUGUAUUUAUGAUUUUAAUAAAUUCUACUAUCUAUAUAAAAACAGUCAGAAGGCACUGCGGACCACCGUUUUUGAUUCUGUUUAGUAUUUAUUGUUAUUUUCAUGAACAGAAUUUCCAAUCCAGGCUUAUAGAAAAUCAUUUUUGUAAAUUACAGAGAGAUUCUUAUAUGAAACCUCAGCAUUUCAAGUAUUAAAUUUCCAACAGUAUGCUAUGCAUUUAUAAAUAGAAAAAAUAUAUACACGGUGACUGUUUAGUUGUCUUACAAAAGCGAAUUUGGGGGUCAUUUUGAGAUGGGUAAAAAGAAAAACUUCAAGGUCGCAUCACCAACAUAAAUAUUGCUCAGAGUGUCGAUGGAUGUAAUAACUAAUCUUAUGUUCUUGAUUUUAUAAUUUACAAAUUAUGAAAUUUUAAUUUUUGAUACCUACUACUAAUAAUUUCAGAAAACAAAAUAAAAACCAGUGUUCUGACCACCAAAUUUUUUUAAAAUGUUUUAUUUAAUUUUUUUGUAACUGAUACAAAAAACGUAACAUUGGUUACAUUUAUCUGGUUCGCUUUUAAAAGACGACUAAAAAAUUAUCGUGUAUAAAAACCACUUUUAAUCACUUCCCUACUUAUUGAAAUGUAUUGAAAACUUAAUAUAAAAUGUAUGAUUGUGAAUAGUAUAGUUUAUGCCAUCUUUUUUUUUACGAAUAGUGUAGUGAAAAUAGACAGUUGUCCUUCUUUCGUGGUAUACUUUCAAAACUUAGAUGACCAGGUUUCAAAAUGAUGCUAAUUCUUUUAAAAUAUGCCCUUAGGAUAGCACUACUUUUAGACCUGUCUAUUUCAAAACAACCAUUUUGGGAAGAUCCGUAAUUUGAUUUUGAAUGUCAUAUUGUUGUGGUUCAACCAAGUUUUUUUUGGUGUUUAUGGAAACAAUUGCAUUCAAUCUGUGCUCGUAAAGAAACUUGAGUUAUUGUUUGUUGCAACUUUGUUUCUGAGCUGCAAUUGUUUGAACUUUACAUUUUUUUACUAUAUUUUUAGACACUAAAUGGUUCCAAAUUCUUAUUUUCUAGAUUUUUUCUCCGAAGUUGAGACAUUUUUUUUAAUUGUAGAUAUACCCUUUUCAAUGAACUUGUACCUAUAAGCUAGUUAAUGAGCGAGAAUUUAAUAUUUUGCGAGUCUAACUCACUGUAUCCGAAUUCCGUAAGGAAAUGGGACAUUAAGUAAAUCCGUACGGAAUUUUGAUAUGUUUUAGUAAUAAUGUGUAAUUUUUUUUUAUUGUCAUAUUGAUGGGCUAUGUGAUGCUUUGUACUGUCAUUGUUACUUUUUGUUUCAGUUAAGUUUGUAAUUUUGUAGAUAUUAGGUUGAAUAAAUAUGUGUGUGUCGUUUUGUCAUCGUAGUUUCUUAAUAGACGUUUUCUUUUUAAAAUGCCCAUUAUUUCAUUUUGGAGGUUGAACUAUCGUAUCGUGUUAUUGCUUUAGGUGGAACGAUGCCUUUAUUUUUAUUAUAAUAUUACAGAUAAUAACACUUUUUAUAGAAUUUUGUGCUUCAUAGAAGCAUAAGUAAUGUAGCCUGUACUUAUUGAAAUCAGAGCAGAUUUUUUUUCUUUUAUGAUAUAAACAAUAAUUAUUCAUUUAUUUAAACGAUAGUUCAACGUUCAAAAUUGUGCUGAGCAGUGAGCAUUAUCAAAAAGUCCACAUGGAAAGUAAGAAAAACCAGGAAAAUUAAUUAGUGUGUAAUUUUAAAUAGGUUUUCUACCGCACUAAUAAAUAAUUGGUUUAUCAAAUAACUCACUAGGUAUAACAUUUUCAUCAACUAAACCUAUUGUUAAGACGAGAUUUUUUAUGUACCUAUUCUAUAAUGAUAUUAGAAGUGUAAUAUGAAAUAAAUUUUGUAUGAUAUCGUGGUAAAAAACCCUUAUUUUAUGCGGACUAACAUAAACGAUGUAAUUAUUGUAAACUGUUCUUUUUUAAGUUACAUUGUAAAUUUCAUUUUUUUUUUACUAACAUGAAGUCGUGUAAAAAUUUGAAAUGAUAAACGAAUUCUGAAGUUAUGAAGGUAUGAAUUUUAUUAAAAAUAAAACUCGAACAAGAUUGACAGACCUAAAACUUUUUAUCCUUUUGUAACAAAAAUUGUGAUAGGAUAGCACGAGUUUUAACCCUGUCAAUUUGAUUUGUAGUUUUGCAUUGGAGGUAAUAUCGACAAUUGACACUUAUCACAAAGUAUCUAAUUCAAACAGUUUUGAAACAAAAUCUAGUUAUCAUUAACUUUUAACCGAACUAUUUCAAAGGGUAUCUAAUCUUAAGUCCUAACCUAACCAAAUAACAACGAACCUUUAAGUUCCUAUGUAUUUUUAAGAACUUUACCCUAAUCCUUAUAAAAGCAUUCUAAUUGGGAUCCACAGGCAAAACUUAUCUCAGAGGGCGCCACAAGAGGUCCGGCCAAUGUCAAUGUCAAAAUCCACAUUAUUGUUUUUUUUUUGUGUGUGUCCUCUAGUUUUUCCUCCGACAUGAUGAUCGGAGACUUUUGUUAGCAGACAUAGCUUCAUUUUUUUUUUUUUUCCUUGCUCUCUUC